AUUGAACGCUGGCGGCAGGCCUAACACAUGCAAGUCGAGCGGAUGAAGGGAGCUUGCUCCUGGAUUCAGCGGCGGACGGGUGAGUAAUGCCUAGGAAUCUGCCUGGUAGUGGGGGAUAACGUCCGGAAACGGGCGCUAAUACCGCAUACGUCCUGAGGGAGAAAGUGGGGGAUCUUCGGACCUCACGCUAUCAGAUGAGCCUAGGUCGGAUUAGCUAGUUGGUGGGGUAAAGGCCUACCAAGGCGACAAUCCGUAACUGGUCUGAGAGGAUGAUCAGUCACACUGGAACUGAGACACGGUCCAGGCUCCUACGGGAGGCAGCAGUGGGGAAUAUUGGACAAUGGGCGAAAGCCUGAUCCAGCCAUGCCGCGUGUGUGAAGAAGGUCUUCGGAUUGUAAAGCACUUUAAGUUGGGAGGAAGGGCAGUAAGUUAAUACCUUGCUGUUUUGACGUUACCAACAGAAUAAGCACCGGCUAACUUCGUG
rnacentral:rRNA from 1 species